rnacentral:rRNA from 1 species
CACGGAGUUAGCCGGUGCUUAUUCGUAUAGUACCUUCAGCUUUCCUCACGAGGAAAGGUUUAUCCCUAUACAAAAGAAGUUUACAACCCAUAGGGCCGUCGUCCUUCACGCGGGAUGGCUGGAUCAGGCGCUAACCCAUUGUCCAAUAUUCCUCACUGCUGCCUCCCGUAGGAGUCUGGUCCGUGUCUCAGUACCAGUGUGGGGGAUCACCCUCUCAGGCCCCCUAAAGAUCAUCGACUUGGUGAGCCGUUACCUCACCAACUAUCUAAUCUUGCGCGUGCCCAUCUCUAUCCACCGGAGUUUUCAAUAAUCAAUGAUGCCAUCAAUUAUAUUAUGGGGUAUUAAUCUUCCUUUCGAAAGGCUAUCCCCCUGAUAAAGGCAGGUUGCACACGUGUUCCGCACCCGUACGCCGCUCUCUCUGUCCCGAAAGACAAAUACCGCUCGGCUUGCAUGUGUUAGGCCUCCCGCUAGCGUUCAUCCUGAGCCAGGAUCAAACUCU